rnacentral:rRNA from 1 species
UACGGGGGGGGCGAGCGUUAUUCAGAAUGACUGGACGUAAAGGGUACGUAGGCGGUCUAUUAAGUUGAAGGUAAAAGCCCAGAGCUCAGCUCUGGAAAACCCUUCAAAACUGAUAUGACUGGAGUACGAGAGAGGAUAGUAGAAUUUCUAGUGUAGGGAUGAAAUAUGAAAAGAUUAGAAGGAAUACCAAAGGCGAAGGCAACUAUCUGGAUCGAUACUGACGCUGAGGUACGAAAGUAUGGGGAGCAAACAGG